GCCGAGAUGGUGGAAUUGGCAGACACGCUACUUUGAGGGGGUAGUGCCCGCAAGGGCGUGCGGGUUCAAGUCCCGCUCUCGGCA
rnacentral:tRNA from 1 species